GACGAACGCUGGCGGCGUGCUUAACACAUGCAAGUCGAACGGUGAAGCGCCUUCCUUUUUGGUUGGUGUUGAUGAGUGGCGAAGUGGUUAGCAACACGUGAGUAUCCUGCCCCCUUCUUCUGGAUAACCGCAUGAAAGUGUUGCUAAUACCGGACAUUCUGAGUCUGUUGCAUCAUGGGUCUGGGAAAGUCUUUGUUUCGCUGGGGGAUGGGCCCGCGGCCUAUCAGCUUGUUGGUGGGGUGAUGGCCUACCAAGGCGACGACGGGUCGCCAGCCUGGGAGGGUGGGCGGUCACACUGGGAAGGAGAGACGGCCCAGACUACUACGGGGAGCAGCAGUGGGGAAUAGUCGACGAUGGGAGCAAGGCUGGAGCAGCGACGCGGCGUGAAAGAUGGACGUCUUAGAGUUGUAAUCCUCUUUCGCCAGUGAAGAAGGCCUGCCUCGUUUGUGGGUGGCUUGACGGUAGCUAGAUAAGAAGCGCCGGCUAACUACGUG
rnacentral:rRNA from 1 species